ensembl:lncRNA
AGCAGGAGGAGGUUGACUUUGGCAGUUCCUAAGAAAGCAGUCGAACCAGCAUCGGGCCACACAGUACUAUUUCUCCAACUUCCCUCAGAGAACGGAGAUUCCGCUGGAGAACCACGAUCAGGCCCCCCAGGUUUAGGCGUACAACAGCACCAAGCAGCCUCCCAUGUGCCCCAGGAGACCCUCGGCCCCUAAGACCCAGCCCCGCGGGCGCCCUCUGCUGGGGGACGUGUCCGGGACAUGCCUUCUAAAACAGGAAAAGAGGAAGGAAAGCCUGAGCUCAGACUUGCCAGACAAUAAAAGAAAAACGUGAAGAUUGUUGGGAUAAAUGAUACUGCAUGCAUCUAUUUUAUUGAGGGCCUAGCUUCAAGGAAUGCUGAAGAAGUGUCAGCUAAUCCAAGAGACUCACACAAAAUGAAACAGAAGCCAGGGAAAUGGACCACCCAGGCUUGCACAGAUGAGGACACCCAUCAGGGAGCCCAAAGCCAAGCUGUUCCCUGGAUGCAGCCCUCUGCCACUUAGUCUGCAAGUGCUUCCUGUCUCUCCUUGGUCUCUGACUUGCAGCCUGCUUUGGAAAUGACUUGGCCCACACUCCUCCAGCUCUUGCGCAUCAAUCAACCCAUGACUGUACGGGCU